CACGUAGGGCGCAAGCGUUGUCCGGAAUUAUUGGGCGUAAAGAGCUCGUAGGUGGCCUGUUGCGUCCGCUGUGAAAACUCAGGGCUUAACCCUGAGCCGGCAGUGGAUACGGGCAGGCUAGAGGUAGGUAGGGGAGAAUGGAAUUCCUGGUGUAGCGGUGAAAUGCGCAGAUAUCAGGAGGAACACCGGUGGCGAAGGCGGUUCUCUGGGCCUUACCUGACACUGAGGAGCGAAAGCGUGGGGGAGCGAACAGG
rnacentral:rRNA from 1 species